CCUACGGGAGGCAGCAGUGAGGAAUAUUGGUCAAUGGGCGGGAGCCUGAACCAGCCAAGUCGCGUGAGGGAAGACGGUCCUAUGGAUUGUAAACCUCUUUAGGCGGGGAGCAAUGCCGGGCACGUGUGCCCGGAGGGAGAGUACCCGCAGAAUAAGCAUCGGCUAACUCCGUGCCAGCAGCCGCGGUAAUACGGAGGAUGCGAGCGUUAUCCGGAUUUAGUGGGGUUAAAGGGUGCGUAGGCGGAUUUUUAAGUCAGCGGUAAAAUGUCCGGGCUCAAUCCGGGCCGGCCGUUGAAACUGGGGAUCUUGAGUGGGCGAGAAGUAUGCGGAAUGCGUGGUGUAGCGGUGAAAUGCAUAGAUAUCACGCAGAACUCCGAUUGCGAAGGCAGCAUACCGGCGCCCGACUGACGCUGAGGCACGAAAGCGUGGGGAUCGAACAGGAUUAGAUACCCGUGUAGUC
rnacentral:rRNA from 1 species